UUAAAUUGAAGAGUUUGAUCAUGGCUCAGAUUGAACGCUGGCGGCAGGCUUAACACAUGCAAGUCGAACGGUAACGGGUUGAAAGCUUGCUUUCAAUGCUGACGAGUGGCGGACGGGUGAGUAAGGCUUGGGGAUCUGGCUUUUGGAGGGGGAUAACCAUUGGAAACGAUGGCUAAUACCGCAUAGUAUCGAGAGAUGAAAGGGGUGGGAAACCACUUGCCAAGGGAUGAACCCAAGUGAGAUUAGGUAGUUGGUGGGGUAAGGGCCUACCAAGCCGACGAUCUCUAGCUGGUCUGAGAGGAUGACCAGCCACACUGGGACUGAGACACGGCCCAGACUCCUACGGGAGGCAGCAGUGGGGAAUAUUGCGCAAUGGGGGGAACCCUGACGCAGCCAUGCCGCGUGAAUGAAGAAGGCCUUCGGGUUGUAAAGUUCUUUCGGUGGUGAGGAAGGUUAGGAUGUUAAUAGCAUGCUGAUUUGACGUUAGCCACAGAAGAAGCACCGGCUAACUCCGUGCCAGCAGCCGCGGUAAUACGGAGGGUGCGAGCGUUAAUCGGAAUAACUGGGCGUAAAGGGCACGCAGGCGGGACGUUAAGUGAGAUGUGAAAGCCCCGGGCUUAACCUGGGAAUUGCAUUUCAUACUGGCGUACUAGAGUACUUUAGGGAGGGGUAGAAUUCCACGUGUAGCGGUGAAAUGCGUAGAGAUGUGGAGGAAUACCGAAGGCGAAGGCAGCCC
rnacentral:rRNA from 1 species